CCUUAACCCCGAUAGCAGCGGUAUCCUUGCUUGGGCGAAAAAGCCCAAGCAAGAUUUAGAGGAUAGCGGGAACCAUG
rnacentral:sRNA from 1 species